rnacentral:rRNA from 1 species
UAGGGAAUCUUCCACAAUGGGCGAAAGCCUGAUGGAGCAACGCCGCGUGAGUGAGGAAGGCUUUCGGGUCGUAAAGCUCUGUUGCCAGGGAAGAAUAAGGAUCAUUUAACUGAUGAUCCGAUGACGGUACCUGAGAAGAAAGCCCCGGCUAACUACGUGCCAGCAGCCGCGGUAAUACGUAGGGGGCAAGCGUUGUCCGGAAUUAUUGGGCGUAAAGCGCGCGCAGGCGGCUCUUUAAGUCUGGUGUUUAAGUGCGGGGCUCAACCCCGUGACGCACUGGAAACUGGGGAGCUUGAGUGCAGAAGAGGAGAGCGGAAUUCCACGUGUAGCGGUGAAAUGCGUAGAGAUGUGGAGGAACACCAGUGGCGAAGGCGGCUCUCUGGACUGUAACUGACGCUGAGGCGCGAAAGCGUGGGGAGCAAACAGGAUUAGAUACCCUGGUAGUCCACGCCGUAAACGAUGAGUGCUAGGUGUUGGGGGUAUCAUGCCCUCGGUGCCGAAGUUAACACA